GAUGAACGCUGGCGGCGUGCUUAACACAUGCAAGUCGAACGAUGAAGCCCAGCUUGCUGGGUGCAUUAGUGGCGAACGGGUGAGUAACACGUGAGUAACCUGCCCUUAACUCUGGGAUAAGCCUGGGAAACUGGGUCUAAUACCGGAUAGGAGCGUCCACCGCAUGGUGGGUGUUGGAAAGAUUUAUCGGUUUUGGAUGGACUCGCGGCCUAUCAGCUUGUUGGUGAGGUAAUGGCUCACCAAGGCGACGACGGGUAGCCGGCCUGAGAGGGUGACCGGCCACACUGGGACUGAGACACGGCCCAGACUCCUACGGGAGGCAGCAGUGGGGAAUAUUGCACAAUGGGCGCAAGCCUGAUGCAGCGACGCCGCGUGAGGGAUGACGGCCUUCGGGUUGUAAACCUCUUUCAGUAGGGAAGAAGCGAAAGUGACGGUACCUGCAGAAGAAGCACCGGCUAACUACGUG
rnacentral:rRNA from 1 species